rnacentral:tRNA from 1 species
GGGGUGGUAGUUCAGUUUGGCUAGAACGUCGGCUUGUCACGCCGAAGGUCGCGGGUUCGAGCCCCGUCCAUCCCGCCA